AGUAAAUAAAUAAAUAAAUAAAUAUGGCAAAGUGUCCAGCUGUCAAAAAACCGAUUAACCUGGCUAAUAACGAAGUAGCUAUAAAAAGAAAUUUGUCUGUAUUUGAGUGCUUAAGAAGUAGUAAAGACAAGCUAGAAGAAAAGUAUAAACCGGGCGUCUACAACAUUCCACUCAUUAACAAGAACAGUAAAAUCGCAAGUAAAUAUAUAGGUUUCACGAGCCGUACAAUGGAUGAAAGGCUAGACGAGCAUAAAAAUGACCUAAGAAAAGCAAAGAUGACAACAGCAUUAGCCAAAGAAU
rnacentral:lncRNA from 1 species